rnacentral:lncRNA from 1 species
GAGAGAGGACUCACCUGAAGUGUCUCCUACCACUGAGAGCAUCCCUCCCUUUGCCUGAAGCCUCCAUCAGACCCAGCCCUCACUCUUCCUCCUAUCUCCUCCAACAAACUUACGCAGGCACAAACAUGGGAC